GGCGCUGUGGUUCAAUGGCAGAGUGCUUACCUGGCACGCAAGAGGCACUGGGUUUGAUCCUUAGCAGCACAA
rnacentral:tRNA from 1 species